CGGCAACGGCGCCAAAAACUUGUUGUGAUAUUUAUUGCAAGCGCACAAUUCGCACAAGUAAUAUAGUGAUGAGUGAAGUGUCGUUCCCACGAAGAGUGAUUUAAUUUACCAAGUAGCGAUUGUGAUUAACCCAAGACUUUAUUUGAACAAUUGAUGAUGAGAUUUGAUUGACUAAUUAACUAAAACAAUGAAUAAAAACAAGCGUAGAAAAAUAAAGUAGUGAGAUUCAAGUUAUGAGAGCACUAGAGCUUCCGAUUUCACCAUAGCCAAUUCUACCCAAUUCCCUUAGCAUGUUAAUCCUAAUUAUUCUCUAUGUUGACAGUUGAUUUUCCCUACUUUAUUCGAUACUCCAUCCCUGGUUAUACCAAAAGUAUUCUUAUUACCAACCCACUCUAUCCCUAGUAAUGGAAUUAAGAUAAUAAGAACCCAUUAAAUUCCUUGGAAAACCUACAAAACAACCACAUAAGUCAUGACAAACAUCCCUG
rnacentral:lncRNA from 1 species